AGAGGAGGAGACUGUCUCCUGGCUGCACAGAUACAGCUCGGAGGAGGUUUGCAUCCCUGGUAACCCUUCACAGGACCUGCUGCGGGGAGCUGAGUGGUUUAUAUCUGGUAAGCCUGGGCCAAGAGGCAGCGUUUAAGGGGCCGAUGACUCAUCCAGAACCAGCUCCAUUUUUCGUGUGGAGGAGAGCCUUGAUGGGCGCUGGAGGCUAACUGCACGGCGCUAGGAGCGAUGCAGCCGCUGUAAUUCCUGUCACCUCUAACGACGCAGUGGGAGCUUCCGGGGGAUCAUGCCAGGCGUUCGGGGGCCGUCUGCAUUCUUGCCUAAUAAGUUGUCUCCAGUUGCGGAGAAAGUUGCUAUUAAAGACCUGAUGGGAAGCAGCAACUCAGAACAGCCCAGCUCAUCUCAGGACGAGACUGUCUUUCCUAACAGUUUCCGGGAACGACAUCGCCACUGGGCCUGGAUAUUCCAGCUUUUGGGGGCGGGGCGGGGGGAGUCUCCCUGUGGCCCUCUCCUGGGAACCUGGGGGCUGGCCUGCGUUCACCCCUUUACUUAGGAAGUGUAACCCUUAGAGAUCGGAAGAAACCUGGGAAUAAGACAAUUCAAUAAAGUC